CUCCAAAAGCAGAGCCUUCCAAAUUGCCCUGCUCAACAAAGCAAACCAACUCCAUGGAUGUGCCAUCCAUUGAGGACAUUUUGAGGGAAAUGACCUACUCAUUUUCACGUCCCGUGUCACCUCUGCAGUCGCCUCCAAAAGCAGAGUCUGCCAAAUUGCCUUGCUCAACAAAGGUAAACCAGCCCCUU